rnacentral:lncRNA from 1 species
GCCUGCAUCGGCAAGGUCAGUCAAGCAUCCCUCCAAAGCCUCCAGCUUCAGUUCUGUUUCUUCAAGCACGCAAGCUCCAGCUCACAGAGGAAGGCGCAUAGGAAUGGAGACUGAUUUAACCUCUACCGCAUUAGAGAAGAGGAGGAAUCUGGCAGAUGUCCUACAAAUGUCACUGACAAGAAAAAGAAAAGGCUAAAGGCUCUGCUGGAGUGACUCCAUUGACUGCCAUGGCUUCCCUGGGCUUCAAUUUGCAAAACAGACAGAAGAGAAAACCCUUCCUCCACCCCUCUCCCCCGCCGUUGCCGAAAGUGACAUCUGUGCGGUGCUGCGGGAAAGAUUACACAUCUUGGCCUUGAUUUUCUCCCUCUGCCGCUCCCAACUUGCUCGUGCCCACUCUCGUAACAGCAACCUUUAGCAAGGAGGAGCACCCAGCCCUCCCCUGGGCCCAUGCUCUGAGCCGCCACGAGGCAGGGCAGGCACGCUUUGCCUCGCCAGCCCUCCUUCCCGCUCCCCCACCGCCCCUGGACCCUUUUCUCUCCCAGAAAAAUCCAUGCAUUUAUUUCCAAUUAGAAACCACACCACAUAACACAAUCGUAAUUGCUUAAAAGUUGUUCCACAUUUGAUUCGCAUGCAUUAUGCAUCCUGUAAAUUAUGUACGACCUCGGCUCUCUUUUUUCUUUGAGGCGUAUUAUUGUAGGUUCCCUCUGUCGAUAUAAGGAUAGUUUUUACAGUCAGAAUCAAAACCUAAUUCAUUUACAAUACCUGUCUCCCGAGGAUCACAACAUAAUGACAUUGGAACAGUAAAAAGACUACGCAGGGUUUGCACUUCAAUCACAGCUGCUCCAUAAAGAAAAGAAACUUACAGAAACCACCAAGAGAGCCGGUGAUUUAUAUCCAGUCGGAUACAAUAUAGCUGAAGAUGACUUUCUUGCUUAAACAAGGAGGGAAAAAAUGAACUCAUAUGUAUGAUGUAAAUAGACUUAACCAUGGGUGGCUGUGGUUUACUAUAAAUAUUCAAUUCAUUAUGGCUGCGGAGACGUACGGCUCCUACUGCGUGCCGGUGUUCUCGCCCCUGUCUGUCACCCGCUCGUGUUUGUCAUAAGCCAGAACCCUCUUUAUUGUCCCCCCACACACACACACAUCUUUUUCACAGAUCCAGGAAUCAACACAUUUGGGAAUUUCCAUCGGAGCUCGGGACCUCUUAACGGCGAAGAUCUCAUUGAGGGAGGCUUUUCAGCAAUGGAAAAAACCAUAGGCCUGCGAGUUUGGAUCCCGUGAUGCAUUGCUGCUUGAAGUUGCAUCUGCUCUUCUCUUUCAUCUCUCCUCUUGUUAACUGGGAGCUGUCACAUUAGGAGGAAUGGUCUCGGGGUCACACCAGUGUAUUUUGUUACAAGAAGGAG